CCUCUUCGAUUUGUUGUGGGCAAAUGAAAUGAAUAUGUGCAUCAAUGCCACCCGGCGUAAGAAUUUGACCUUCACCGGCAAUAAUUUCGGUACCUGGACCGAUAGGAAUAGUUACCCCUUGCUGAGUAUCUGGAUUACCCGCCUUACCUAUUGCGUGAAUGCGACCCGCCUUGAUUGCCACAUCAGCUUUUACAAUACCCCAAUAGUCUAGAAUAAGGGCGUUCGUAAUAACGGUGUCAGGUACAACCUCAUUAGUCAGUUGACUUUGACCCAUGCCAUCACG
rnacentral:sRNA from 1 species